GAAGGCCCGUCCGGUGGGGCGGGGGGGGGGGGGGAGUGUCUCGUUCCCUCAGUGCCCCGCCGGCCCGGAGCGGAGCCCUGGGCGCAGCCCUCCUCGCCUCUCCCGCCCCGGGGCUGAGAGACAGUGCGGCGCGGCGGGGAGGGAGCGCCUUAGCGGGGCCGGGGGUGGUAGGAGGAGAAGGAGGAGGAGGAGGAGGAGGAGGAGGAGGAGGAGGGUAGUUUGCCGGGGAAGAGGGACAGGCCUGCGGGCUCCGGGGAAGAGGGACAGGCCUGCGGGCUCCGGGGAGCGGCGCCGCUCUGGGGAGCGGCUGCUCUGGAAGAGAAUCCUUGGACUGAUUGGACUCCUUCCUUCUGCCAUUGUUGCCUGAGUUUUGGGAGCACAAUGAUAACUGGAAGGAACCUCUGAUCCUUGCUUUCCUGCCCCAAACAGAAGAAUAUGAAUGAUAACAUGCGCCAGUAAAUCUGAAACAAGUCUUCAGUCUUG
rnacentral:lncRNA from 1 species